GACGAACGCUGGCGGCGUGCUUAACACAUGCAAGUCGAACGGAAAGGCCCUGCUUUUGUGGGGUGCUCGAGUGGCGAACGGGUGAGUAACACGUGAGUAACCUGCCCUUGACUUUGGGAUAACUUCAGGAAACUGGGGCUAAUAUCGGAUAGGAGCUCCUGCUGCAUGGUGGGGGUUGGAAAGUUUCGGCGGUUGGGGAUGGACUCGCGGCUUAUCAGCUUGUUGGUGGGGUAGUGGCUUACCAAGGCUUUGACGGGUAGCCGGCCUGAGAGGGUGACCGGCCACAUUGGGACUGAGAUACGGCGCAGACUCCUACGGGAGGCAGCAGUGGGGAAUAUUGCACAAUGGGCGGAAGCCUGAUGCAGCAACGCCGCGUGCGGGAUGACGGCCUUCGGGUUGUAAACCGCUUUCGCCUGUGACGAAGCGUGAGUGACGGUAAUGGGUAAAGAAGCACCGGCUAACUACGUG
rnacentral:rRNA from 1 species